rnacentral:rRNA from 1 species
AUACGUAGGUGGCAAGCGUUAUCCGGAUUUACUGGGUGUAAAGGGCGUGUAGGCGGGAAAGCAAGUCAGGCGUGAAAAUUAUGGGCUCAACCCAUAACCUGCGUUUGAAACUGUUUUUCUUGAGUGACGGAGAGGCAGGCGGAAUUCCGAGUGUAGCGGUGAAAUGCGUAGAUAUUCGGAGGAACACCAGUGGCGAAGGCGGCCUGCUGGACAUUAACUGACGCUGAGGCGCGAAAGCGUGGGGAGC